GAGUUUGAUCCUGGCUCAGGACGAACGCUGGCGGUCUGUUUGAACACAUGCAAGUUGAACGGGGCCUUUUAGGCUUAGUAGCGAACGGGUGAGGAUAAAACAAAAAUCUACCCUGAAGACGAGGAUACCCGUGGGAAACUGCGGUUAAUAGUCGAUAUGCUUUACAGUGAAAGGUUCUAAUUAAUGAGCCGCUUCAGGAUGAGUUUGUUUCUGAUUAGCUUGUUGGUACGGUAAUGGCGUCCCAAGGCUUCGAUCAGUCGUUGGUCUGCGAGGAUGAUCAACCACAUUUGAACUGAGACACGGUCAAAACUCCUACGGGAGGCAGCAGUGGAGAAUCUUCUGCAAUGAGCGAAAGCUUGACAGAGCAAGACCGCGUGGGGGACGAAGGUUCGAGGAUUGUAAACCCCUUUUCUUGGAGAAGAAGAAAUGACGGUAUUCAAGGAAUAAGUGGUGUCUAAACUCUGUGCCAGCAGACGCGGUAAUACAGGGGCCACGAGUGUUGUCCGAUGUUAUUGGGCUUAAAGCGUCUGUAGGUGGUAUGACACGUCAAAGAUUAAAAGCCACUGCUCAACGGUGGUUCGGUCUUUGAUACGGUCAUACUUGAGUUCGGGAAACGUCGAGGGAACUCCCGGUGGAGUGGUGAAGUGCGUAGAGAUCGGGAAGAACACCAAAAGCGAAGGCACUCGACGAGCCCAGAACUGACACUCAGAGACGAAAGCUGUGGGAGCAACAAGGAUUAGAUACCCUUCUAGUCACAGCUGUAAACUAUGAAAACUAGGCGUUGGGGACCUUGCGGAACUCAGUGUCGUCGCGAAAGCAUUAAGUUUUCCGCCUGGGAAGUACGGUCGCAGGACUGAAACUCAAAGGAAUUGGCGGGAGCUCGCACAAGCAGUGGAUCAUGUGGUUUAAUUCGAUGCUAAGCGAAAAACCUUACCAAAACUUGUAUCCCGGAAAGUUUUUUGAAAAAAAAAUGUGCUUUUAAGAAUCCGGUGACAGGUGGUGCAUGGCUGUCGUCAGCUCGUGUCGUGAGAUGUUGGGUUAAGUCCCGCAACGAGCGCAACCCACGUCUUUAGUUGCCAGCAUUUAGUUGGGCACUCUAGAGAGACCGCCGGUGAUAAACCGGAGGAAGGUGUGGAUGACGUCAAGUCAUCAUGCCCCUUACAUCCUGGGCUACACACGUACUACAAUGCUACGGACAAGGGGCAGCAAGUUCGCGAGGACAGGCAAAUCCCAUAAACCGUGGCUCAGUUCAGAUCGUAGGCUGCAACUCGCCUACGUGAAGGAGGAAUCGCUAGUAAUCGCAGGUCAGCAUACUGCGGUGAAUACGUUCCCGGGCCUUGUACUCACCGCCCGUC
rnacentral:rRNA from 1 species